rnacentral:rRNA from 1 species
UGCGGAGGGAUCAUUACACAACAAAAUAUGAAGGCCUGGCUUCGCGGCCGGCUGAAAUAUUUUUUCACCCAUGUCUUUUGCGCACUUGUUGUUUCCUGGGCGGGUUCGCCCGCCACCAGGACCAAACCAUAAACCUUUUUUUUAUGCAGUUACCAUCAGCGUCAGUAAAAACAAUGUAAUUAAUUACAACUUUCAACAACGGAUCUCUUGGUUCUGGCAUCGAUGAAGAACGCAGCGAAAUGCGAUACGUAGUGUGAAUUGCAGAAUUCAGUGAAUCAUCGAAUCUUUGAACGCACAUUGCGCCCUUUGGUAUUCCAAAGGGCAUGCCUGUUCGAGCGUCAUUUGUACCUUCAAGCUUUGCUUGGUGUUGGGUGUUUUUGUCUCCCUCUUUCUGGGAGACUCGCCUUAAAACGAUUGGCAGCCGGCCUACUGGUUUCGGAGCGCAGCACAUAAUUUGCGCUUUGUAUCAGGAGAAAAGGACGGUAAUCCAUCAAGACUCUACAUUUUUCACUUUUGACCUCGGAUCAGGUAGGGAUACCC